GACCCGUCGAUGUCCGAAUGGGGGAACCCGUCAUCCAAGAGGAUGACAUCGAUGAAGAAUCGAGGCGAUACGCAGGGAACUGAAACAUCUCAGUACCUGCAGGAAAGGAAAGUAAGAACGAUUCCGUAAGUAGUGGCGAGCGAAAGCGGAGGAGCCCAAACCAUCGUAUGAUGGGGUUAUAGGGGUGCCGAUAAAGCCUAUUUGACAUGACAGGAGAAGCGCAGGGGAAGGCGCAGCGAAGAGGGUGAAACUCCCGUAUCCGAAGUCGUGGAGGAAGGCGAGGCAGGCCCUGAGUACGUCGGGACACGAGGAAUCCUGACGGAAGGAUCGAGGACCAUCUCGAAAGGCUAAAUACUCCCUGGUGAGCGAUAGUGGACCAGUACCGUGAGGGAAAGGUGAAAAGAACCCCGGGAGGGGAGUGAAAGAGAACCUGAAACCAUAUGCUUACAAGAAGUCAGAGCCCGUUAAUGGGUGAUGGCGUGCCUUUUGUAGAAUGAGCCGGCGAGUUAUGAUGUGGAGCGAGGUUAAGCAGGGGAUGCGGAGCCGAAGCGAAAGCGAGUCUGAAGAGGGCGAAAGUUGCAUGUCAUAGACCCGAAACCGGGUGAUCUAGCCAUGAUCAGGUUGAAGUCGGGGUAAGACCCGAUGGAGGACCGAACCGACCCCCGUUGAAACGUUGGCGGAUGAAUUGUGGCUAGGGGUGAAAUUCCAAACGAACCCGGAGAUAGCUGGUUCUCCCCGAAAUAGCUUUAGGGCUAGCGUCGUCAGGAAGUCGCAUGAAGGUAGAGCACUGAAUAUGUGAUGGCCUCAUCUCGAGGUACUGAGCAUAAUCAAACUCCGAAUGUCAUGAAGACAUGGACGGCAGUCAGACCAUGGGUGAUAAGGUCCAUGGUCAAGAGGGAAACAGCCCAGACCAUCAGCUAAGGUCCCCAAAUACAUGCUAAGUGGAAAAGGAUGUGGAGAUGUACAGACAACCAGGAGGUUGGCUCAGAAGCAGCCAUCCUUGAAAGAGUGCGUAACAGCUCACUGGUCGAAUGACUCUGCGCCGAAAAUUUACCGGGGCUAAGCAUGAUACCGAAGCUAUGGAUUUACGAUGUAAAUGGUAGGGGAGCGUUCCAGACAGCGAAGAAGCGAUACCGCAAGGAGUCGUGGAGCGUGUGGAAGAGAGAAUGCCGGUGUGAGUAGCGGCACGUGGGUGAGAAUCCCACGCACCGGAGACCCAAGGUUUCCAGAGGAAGGUUCGUCCGCUCUGGGUAAGUCGGGACCUAAGGCGAGGCCGAAAGGCGUAGUCGAUGGACAACGGGUGGAGAAUCCCGUACCGGAGUGCAGGCGAGGGAGUGACGGAGAAGGCUAGGACAACCAGCUGACGGAAUAGCUGGAGCAAGCGAGGUAGGGGUCAUCCAGGCAAAUCCGGAUGGC
rnacentral:rRNA from 1 species